rnacentral:rRNA from 1 species
GCCUGCAGCCACACCACCCUGAAAACACCUGAUUUCAUCUGAUCUCUGAAGCUAAGCAGGGUGGGGCUCAGUUAAUACUUGGAUGGGAGACCACCCGGGAAUCCCAGGUGCUGUAGGCU